AACGAACGCUGGCGGCAUGCCUAACACAUGCAAGUCGAACGAGACCUUCGGGUCUAGUGGCGCACGGGUGCGUAACGCGUGGGAACCUGCCCUUAGGUUCGGAAUAACUCCCCGAAAGGGGUGCUAAUACCGGAUAAUGUCUUCGGACCAAAGAUUUAUCGCCUUUGGAUGGGCCCGCGUUGGAUUAGCUAGUUGGUAGGGUAAAAGCCUACCAAGGCGACGAUCCAUAGCUGGUCUGAGAGGAUGAUCAGCCACACUGGGACUGAGACACGGCCCAGACUCCGACGGGAGGCAGCAGUGGGGAAUAUUGGACAAUGGACGAAAGCCUGAUCCAGCAAUGCCGCGUGAGUGAUGAAGGCCUUAGGGUUGUAAAGCUCUUUUACCCGGGAUGAUAAUGACAGUACCGGGAGAAUAAGCUCCGGCUAACUCCGUG
rnacentral:rRNA from 1 species